rnacentral:lncRNA from 1 species
UUUGGAGGGGCGUGGUCAAGGUGGAAAAGGUAAGAAGGAAGGUAUUCUCAUUUGAUUUCCGGCCAGCAGUCAGUAAGCCUCGCCCACCAUGACCUCUGCAUACGUCGCCCUCCUUGGUAUCCUCAGUCCAUGUAUUGAAGAGAAGGGGCAACUCAAGCUCUGAUGCACCACCAACUCCACCAUCAUCACCGCCAUCUUCUCCACUCUCUUCAUCACCAGUGCAGUCUGAAGGAGAGAGAGACGUUAGCAUGUCUAACCAGCGAGGACUGAUACCGCCAUCCUGCCAGCCUGUCUUCUGCAAUUCAUCACCAGUGCAGUCAGACGGAUAGGGACGCCAGCCUGUCUAACUAACGAGGACUAAUACUGCCAUCCUGCUGCCCUGCCAUCUUGUCUUCUGCAAUUUAUCACCAGUGCGGCCUGACGGAGAGGGACACCAGCCUGCACUUCUGCUAUUGUUGUUUGACUUUGCCCUAUCCUGUCCUACACUUGCUAUAUGGUGGACGUGACUGUCUGUACGUAGUGUGUGUGUUCUAAGAGUUCAAGGACUCCUCCCAUUGUUUUUUUUUUUUUUUUAUGAUUUUGUUUUGGUGGAAAUGCGCCGAGCUUGUCUCCGGAGAGUCUGCGAGGUAUCGAUAUACAAGAGGGCCGAGUGAAUAAAGGUGAAGGGAAGU